GGUGAUUUGCCCUGUUCAAAUAAACACUGGGACGACACUCAGUGAUCAGUCACUUUAUGGGCUUGAUGUAAUCUAAUUGAUACCCCAUAUGGUGAAAUUUGGUCCGAUACUAUUUUAAGCAUUGUUAAAUUGCCUUUUUGAAGACACGAUAAGAUGUAUGUCCAUAUUGUGAUUCUUUGAUUAAUACACCCCUGAUGAAGUCUGUAGGACGAAACGCGUUGGGUUAGCACAUUGUUCUCUGACAUCUCUACAAAGAAGAUCAUUUUGAUGUUGUUUGAAUUACCAACACAACUAUCGUCUGUACAAACAUUGUUUAUUGUUAUUCUGGGCA